rnacentral:rRNA from 1 species
AUUGAACGCUGGCGGCAGGCCUAACACAUGCAAGUCGAGCGGAUGAAGGGAGCUUGCUCCUGGAUUCAGCGGCGGACGGGUGAGUAAUGCCUAGGAAUCUGCCUGGUAGUGGGGGAUAACGUCCGGAAACGGGCGCUAAUACCGCAUACGUCCUGAGGGAGAAAGUGGGGGAUCUUCGGACCUCACGCUAUCAGAUGAGCCUAGGUCGGAUUAGCUAGUUGGUGGGGUAAAGGCCUACCAAGGCGACGAUCCGUAACUGGUCUGAGAGGAUGAUCAGUCACAUGGGGACGGAGAGGCGGCCCAAACUCCUGCGGGAGGCAGCAGUAGGGAAUGUGCGACAAAGGGCGAAAGUCUGAUGGAGCAAGGCCGCGGGGGUGAAGAAGGGCUGCGGAUCGUAGAAGCCUGUGGGUAGAGAAGAAAGUGCGUGAGAGGAACUGUUCACGGGUAGACGGUAUCUAACCAGAAAGCAACUGCUAACUACGUG